UACGUAGGGUGCGAGCGUUGUCCGGAAUUAUUGGGCGUAAAGAGCUUGUAGGCGGUUUGUCGCGUCUGCUGUGAAAAUCCGGGGCUCAACCCCGGACUUGCAGUGGGUACGGGCAGACUGGAGUGUGGUAGGGGAGACUGGAAUUCCUGGUGUAGCGGUGAAAUGCGCAGAUAUCAGGAGGAACACCUAUUGCGAAGGCAGCUCGCUGGGACGUAACUGACGCUGAGACGCGAAAGCGUGGGGAGCAAACAGG
rnacentral:rRNA from 1 species